UUUAUCGGAGAGUUUGAUCCUGGCUCAGGACGAACGCUGGCGGCGUGCCUAAUACAUGCAAGUCGAGCGGACAGAUGGGAGCUUGCUCCC
rnacentral:rRNA from 1 species